CACGCAGGCGGGGAGACAAGUCAGAUGUGAAAACCCAUAGCUUAACUCUGGGCCUGCAUUUGAUACUGUUUCUCUUGAGUACGGGAGAGGAUGGCGGAAUUCUUGGUGUAGCGGUGAAAUGCGUAGAUAUCAAGAAGAACACCGGUGGCGAAGGCGGCCAUCUGGCCCGAUACUGACGCUCAUGUGCGAAGGCAAGGGGAGCAAACA
rnacentral:rRNA from 1 species